UACGUAGGUGGCAAGCGUUGUCCGGAAUUAUUGGGCGUAAAGCGCGCGCAGGCGGUCCUUUAAGUCUGAUGUGAAAGCCCACGGCUCAACCGUGGAGGGUCAUUGGAAACUGGGGGACUUGAGAUACAGAAGAGAAGAGUGGAAUUCCACGUGUAGCGGUGAAAUGCGUAGAGAUGUGGAGGAACACCAGUGGCGAAGGCGACUCUUUGGUCUGUAACUGACGCUGAGGCGCGAAAGCGUGGGAGCAAACAGG
rnacentral:rRNA from 1 species